GCUGGGGAGGGAAGGGAAGAGGCUAAAGGUGAUUUGAACUUGUUUUUAGCCUUUUCCUAAUGACAUCCUCCUCUGUAGGAGUGCAUCGCCACCUUCCCCACACGUUUAUUUUGCUUUCACUCCUCCGGGCACUUUCUAGUUCUGAGUUGUCAGCUGGGAGGAUUGGGUUUACCUCACUCGUGUUGCUGUGGGUAAGGGCGGGAGAGGGGGCGUAUUACAUAAUUAAUCCUUCCAACUUCACUUUCCGCAGCUCCAUCUCCAGCCCACUGUUCUCACGUUUCUGUUUUGUUUUUAUACGGAGGAGGUGAGAAAAGAAUGCUGGUGUGUGGGUGUGUGUUGCUCGAAGGAUUUCAAGGACCAGAACAGGAUUGCUGCUCUCUGAACAGUUUGAAAUUAUUUCCUCUGGGGGUGCCAAUGGAGACCUGAAGAAGAGAUACUGCAUGACUUACCCUGGCACCUAUUCUUGUCCUCCUCCACCUCUUUGUCAACACAGAUGAUACCUGAUUGCUCAUCCUUGAAAGUGGUGCUGAUGUUUUACACAUACUGGGAAAGCCUUCCUGUCUCUUAGUUUCCAGCAUAAGCAAGAAUGUUUUGGUCCGGAGCUCCUUUGGAAAUCUGCCAGAUGGUGUCUUCACUCCAUUUAUAUUCUAUAUGUGAUUGAGGAAACUGCUUUGAAAACAUACACACAGAUUUCUCUAAUCUGCUUUAUUCCAAAGAGAAAAUGACUGGUCCUACUGGAACUUUUUUUUUUUUUUUUUUCUUUUUUUUUUUUUUGUUGUAUAAUUUUAAUAGACUUGUAAUAAUUUUAAGAGACUCAGAGCAGCUUGUUUACAUAUACGGAUGUCUGUGAGCACUCAAAGACACUUGGCCAGUCAUUCAGUUUGAAUAUGAGGCUCAGUGCAAGUUCCUGUUAAUACUGAAAUUCACAGCAACACUGAACUUGAGAAAUGUGAGCUUUCAUACUGUUUAGGGGACAAAUUGUACUCCCAUCAUAAGAAUACAAAUCCUGCUGACAUCACCCAUUACCCAAGGGUGAUAACAGGUUAUUGGAACUAUCAUGGGAACAUAUUUCUGAACCUCUGUUCUGUUAGAUCUUGAGGAAAAGAAAACUGUCAUGAAGAAAAUGUCAUGGUAGUAGAAGUGUUUGCAGCAAAGCCAGGAGGUGUCAAAAGCAUCUUCUGAGUUUAAAUAUAUCAUGUGUAAGUACAUGUGAAGGUCACCAAGUAUUAGGAAUUGAGUACAGUGGUGCUGAAGGGAAAGUGGAAAGGGAAGCAUUUAUUACUUCAGAAUUCCAAUAAUAGCAGCUGUGGUUGAGGCUGCUGUGCUACUUGCUGAGCAUGGCAAUAACACUGUGCUGGCCCUCAGAAGAUUCAGACUUAUUGCCAGCUUUGUCAUUAGCUUGGAUGACACCCACAUAUCUGUAUUUGAGGUGGGGUAAUCCUGUACAUAGGUGCAGACUGAGAAAUUGCAGGGCAGCCCUGCUGGAAAGCAUCUGGGGCUUUUGGAGUGGAGGUGUGGUAGGUUGGGCAUGACUCAUCACACACUGCUGCUGCAUGAAAGGUGAGCUGUAUCAUUCAUCUCCAUCAAAUGGAAAGCGGCCAGUGGGGUGAGGGAAGUAUGAUUCUGUCUCUACUUGGAACUGCUGAGACUACAUCAUUGAUUCUGUGUCCAGAGCUGGGUCCUCUGGUCCAGGAAGGAGGCUGAUACAUUGCAGAUGGCUCAGUGAAAGACUGCUACAAUGGUCUCUUAAGAGCUAAGCUCUGAGAAAAACGGUCAAAAACUGCCUUUUUAAGCCAGUAAUGUUUUAUGCUAGCUUUGAGGAUUGUAGCUAAGAUGACCCAAACUCCACUUGGUAUAGUCAGAUCAUUUAAUAAUGGGCAACAGCAUGUCAUGGCUUUGGAAAUUCAGAUUAAGUAUUAGCCAAUUCUUGGACUAUAAAUCCACUUCCUAUUUGGAUGGCAAAAUAUUGGGGCAAAAAUAUAUUCCUAUUUCAAUAUCCUCACCAAAUUUUGUUAUCUAAUCCAUUUUGAUUUGUUAUUGGAAGGAUCCUCCUGUAGCAUUACUUUGCAUUGUUUUUAUUGCUCGGGAAGUCACAGUGACUUCCUUUGUCUCAAAAGAUACCUUUGGCAAUUUUUCCAGUCUCUUCAUCCACUUUUAUCACUACCGUGUCUCUCAAAGUUGCCAGUACUUCCGAUAUUACUCUUAUUCCUGAAACUUGCCUAUGUUAAUUAUGAGAAGAGAAUUCUAAUUCACACUGCAAAUUUAAAGAUCUCAUUUUAUUUAUGCUCUUCCUUCCUUGUCCGUUGGUUUUCCUCAUUAAUUUCCUCCCCACCCCCCGCCCCCCUGCCGAGUCCAUAAUCUUCUUCUCCUUCUUCAUUAACACUGCAUAUUCCAGCCUUUUCCUGGGAAUCAUUGCAGUUUUCAACCAUUGAUGUUAGGUUUGAGUGAGGAAGGGUCUGUCAGUAGCUAAGCUGAUCUGACAUACGCACUGCUUCAGGCCAAGAAUAUGUGUCCAGGGCUCAGACCAUUCAGUCUUAAAUUAUAGACACCUUCUCACAAACAAACCCUUAGCUAUACUUACAGAUAAUGGAACAUCCCAGAGCUAUCUCUGCAAGAUAUUUUAAUUUUUUUUUCUAAGACUUUAGACUUCAUUUUAUUUAAAAGCAGAAGCUCCAUUUUGCAGUUGCAAACCUAAAAACUUCAUCUAAAUGGAACCAAAAUGUUUUUUGUUCCACUGAGAGUGCCAAACUCUGAAUAAGUUCUAACUGGGUCAGUUGGAAGAAAGUUAUAUUUUGAAAAUUUCUGUAAGGGUCACCAAAGUGUGUCUCCAGUCCUCUGUGGAUUGGAGGAGCUAAGCAGGUUUUUGAGAACUGUGAUUACUACAAUGGCAGAUAAAUGGGCAUAGUAUCUUGAUAUGUUUGUUAUAUACUGACCUUGUUCAGUUCCCACCUAACUUUUUGAGCAUUUACAAAUCAUGUACUCAGAACAGACAGCAAAAUACUUCUGAAGUUUGAUGACAAAGUUAUCUUAAGCUUAUGAGGUAACUAAAAUUUUUGUUAUGCAAAAGUUUUCCCCUGGUAAGAAAAACAUAUUGGAGUGAAGGAACCACAACAAUUACUAAGUAACUGAGGAACUCUCUCAUAUGAAGAUAGGCUCAUAGUACUUGAUGUGGGAGGGACUAAAAAAGAUGAAGACAGACUCAUCUCAGUGGUACUCAGCAAAAGGAGAAGAGGAGAUGAGCAUAAAUUGAAAAGAAGGACAUGGAAAUGUUAAAAAUGAUCACUUUUUUUACGGUGAAGACAUUCAAAGAUAUUUUGUUGCUUCCUUCCUCAGAUGUGUUAAAAAACCUGGCUACAAAUGGCCCCAACUGUAGCUGACAGUCCUUGGAGUGGGGGCUGGACUAGAUGAUUUCCUGAUGUCUUUUCUAACUUCAGUGGUCAUGAAAUUCUGUGUGCUUGUGGAAAAGCCAUGAAAAUUACUUAGAUGUCUCAGAUCUGACAAAUGGGCAUUUAUCUUUUUGCUUUCUCUUCUGUAUUAUUCCUGAAGGCUUGAAAAGAAAAGAUUAUAUAUAUAUAAUGUCAUACCAUGGUGAUUUGAUAUGUGCAGGCAAUAUUUUCACAGGAAAAAUAUGCUGAGAGAAGUGGCAGACUGUUACUUGUAUUCUAUUCUAGAGUUCUCACAGGAGAGAGAAGGUGUGUAAUGUUGUUUGAAGAGCUAAAUCUCAUGAGUCAUCUCCCAUAAGCUAUCAAUGGGUGCAGAAUAUUGUACCCAGGCACACAGCUCAUCAGAAAGUGAAGUAAUACUCUCGGAGUCAUGCACUCACUGAAAAGAAAUGCAAAUCACUAGAGUCCAUCUUAUCCUGUCACUUCUCUUGUGUGAUAGCUUUAAGAAACUUUAUUUUCUGAGAAAAAUUCCACCUUCUACCUUAAACUGUUUUCUGGAAUCUGAGAUGGAAUUUUAUGCUUAAAGACCCAUUUCUUUUUCAUCUGCUCUGCCUUUCUCUCCUGAUGGAUUAUAGCCUGAUUAACAAGUUUGAGAUGAAGAGCAAAUAGGUAAAAAUGUCACUAUUCGUUCAAACAAGAAGUUUUCUUGCUUUCUAAAUAUCAAAUCUUACUUAUUUCUUUGCUUCUUAGGGUGCCUAAACGUUUGAAUUGCUAUGUCACAUGAGGUUAGAGGAAUUAAAUUAGACCACAGAUGAAGCUGCAAUAAUUGAAAUUACACCUCUUUUUUAUUUCUUUGCCCAAUAGCAGGCAUUCUGUCAUCUUGGUUUUUGUCGUUUUCUGUUUUUCAGAAAAUGGAUAAGGCAUUUAUUUGCCUCCUUCAGUGAUACACAUAACGCUUUGGGAGCACUCCUGUAAAACAUUUUAACUGGAAGAUCUAUGAAAAUAACUUAGAUGGCUCUGUCAGAUGUGGCCUAGAGAAGCCCGUCAAUCUUCAAAUCCCAUUGUUCCAGGUGCAACCAGGCAAAUGAAGCAUUGAUCCUAAAAAUUCACCCAUGGGCAGUGGGAUUGGAAUUAGAUGGUCUUUGAAGUCCUUUCUAACACAAACCAUUCUAUGACCCUGUGAUAUGUUUUCCAGAUUUACUCUUUGAAUAUGUCCCUAAAAAUAAACUCUGAAAUGAAAUCUUUCUUCAUGCGUGUUAUGUUCUGCUUAUGAACACUUUAAAAUGAGAUGAAUUUUCUCAAAACCUCAUAAAAAUCCAUCAAAGCCAGUGAUGAUCAGAUUUUGUGUAGAAUGCUUAAAUGACAAUGCACUAUUCAUGUGUCUCACUGUUUUCUGCUCAGGUUUCUCCUUUUCCCGUCAAUCCACCAUGUGCCUUUGGCAGCUAAUUCUGUAUCUUAUGGAUACAGAAAGAACAGUCUCUUCAUUUGGGUUGAUUUAUCUGUGGCUGCUUGAUAUUUGAUUUAUCCAAAAUGGAAAAACUGACAGAUAUUCCAAAACAACAACAAAAAAAUCUCCAAACUCAGUUUUUAUUUUGUAAGAUCAGGCCAAAACAAUCUAUUUCUAUUCUGUAACUGCAGCUAAUAGUUAUCUUUCUCCCUAGAGGGAUUCAAUAUCAAUGCAGGAAAUUUGAUAAGCUACUUUAUUCUUGUAUAGCCAACAUCUUUACAGCAGCAUCACUAAAGAAUAAAAUAAAUUAAAAUCCAUUUGAGUUUUGAGUUGAACUCCAUUUCUUUACAAAAGCCUGCUUAACCUACACAAUGAAUGAGAAAGCUUUUCACCUACCAAAUAGGAAAUUCACCAUUUCUAAAGACAAUAAAAUGACAAAAGUAAGAAUCUGAUUUGCGUGCUUCAUUAGUCAUGUUUUAAUGCACAAUUGAUUUAGCAAAUUUACAAAGGCAAUGUCUCAUUUUGUCUAGUGAAAAGACCAUAUUAUACAAAUCUAGAAAGAAAUCAUCUUUAUAAAAAAAAGUAGCUA